rnacentral:lncRNA from 1 species
ACAAAUAUAUAGCUCAUAGAAAGUCUCAUUUUUUCUUCUUCGUGAUCUUCUAUUUCUCAUAGUCCUCUUCUUUCUUACCCUUUGAUCCAGCAGCACCGGCCAGAUGCAAUAGUCUUUUGCCCCUUCGUAAAGAGGUAAAGAUCUUCUUCUUUUUUUUUGUGAUUCUUGACACUAAUCCAAGUUUCUGUAGUGAUAUAGGGGUAAUUAAUUCUAUGAAGUAAAUGAAUCGUUGCAUGCAUUUUUGAGGAAAACGAUCUAUAAUUUUUAGGGGUAUCUUGAUGGGAAAAGCUGUGUUUUGUUUCACCGUGAUAUAAAGUAAAAGUGACCUGAUAUUCUAAAAAUUACUCACUGAUAAAAUAUAUACGUAACUAAUUUAAUCUCUAAAAGAAAAGGUUUUGGAAGUAGAAGAAGAAGCAGUUGUUUUAACUGGCUAAGAUGGAAGGUGUUAAGUGCAUUAUUUUGGUUAAAAAUAUCUUCAUUCAUCUUGGCACGUACUUGCCUUACACGAUAACGGUCCACAUUAAGCCAUGCUGUGGGACAUAAUUGAUUUAUCACUCUUUAAUUAUUGGCAUGGCCCUGACCUAAGAUCUGGUGUAAUUUGCAGGGGAAAGAACAAUAAAAAUCAUAUGUACUAAAAAGGUGGAAUUCUCAGUCAUCAAAAUAAUUGCUAUACAUCAACAGAUUUUAAUUUAUAUGUGUAAUAACGGUGUUAAUUUUUUUCUAUUAACCCAAGUUCCUUCAGUUUCAAGCAAUUGAAAAACUCAAAGGCAACUUUAUGCCAUGGAGAAGCUUCUGAAUCCAUACGAUAAAGAAUACAUGAAGAUGGCCAUGGUAAAGCACGAGGAAACCUUUAGAGAACAGGUAAAAUAUAUAUAUAUUCUUAUCUUAACACAAUAUUUGCAUUAGUGUGAUAGUUAAGAUUUCUAGUUCUGAUCCGGGAUCAAAACAAAAAAUGUAACAUAAUAGGCGGUGAGUUAUUCUCUUCCCUCUCUCUUCUCUCUAACGGUAACUCCCAUCCCCCACCCCCAUGUCGAUUACCCCCUCCN